UACGGAGGGUGCAAGCGUUAAUCGGAAUUACUGGGCGUAAAGCGCACGUAGGCGGUCAUUUAAGUCGGAUGUGAAAUCCCCGGGCUCAACCUGGGAACUGCAUACGAUACUGGGUGGCUAGAGUAUGGCAGAGGGGAGUGGAAUUCCAGGUGUAGCGGUGAAAUGCGUAGAUAUCUGGAGGAACAUCAGUGGCGAAGGCGACUCCCUGGGUUAAUACUGACGCUGAGGUGCGAAAGCGUGGGGAGCAAACAGG
rnacentral:rRNA from 1 species